GCCAGACUCCUACGGGAGGCAGCAGUGAGGAAUAUUGGUCAAUGGGCGAGAGCCUGAACCAGCCAAGUCGCGUGAGGGAUGACGGCCCUACGGGUUGUAAACUGCUUUUAUAAGCGAGAAAUAUGAUGGUAACUUAUGAAUAAGGAUCGGCUAACUACGUGCCAGCAGCCGCGGUCAUACGUAGGAUCCGAGCAUUAUCCGGAGUGACUGGGUGUAAAGAGUUGCGUAGGUGGCAUAAUAAGUAGCUAGUGAAAUCUGGUGGCUCAACCAUUCAGACUAUUAGCUAAACUGUUAAGCUCGAGACCGUUAGGGGUAACUGGAAUUUCUAGUGUAGGAGUGAAAUCCGUAGAUAUUAGAAGGAACACCGAUAGCGUAGGCAGGUUACUGGGACGGUUCUGACACUAAGGCACGAAAGCGUAGGGAGCAAACGGGAUUAGAUACCCUCGUA
rnacentral:rRNA from 1 species